AAGGUAGGCAAAGCAAUGUUAGAUGUUUUAUGUCAAAUGUUUCUUCUACCUAAGUGUAUUUAAAAUAAAAAAUGUCUGAGGAUUGUAGAUUUCUGGACUAUAACACCCAGUUUUCUAUGUUACAUUUUGUUUCAUUGAGAAACUUUGACAUAUGAGAUUUGUACAGUUUUAGGCAAGGGUGUCUAUUCUUGCUACUCUUAUUUAACAUCAUAUUGAAAGUCUUAGUGUACUAAGGCCAAAGAAAGAAAGAAAACUUUAAAGACACGCAGAUUGAAAAAGAGAUGAAAAAAGAACAGAAAAAGACAUAACUAUUUUUUUCCCUUCAGUAGCCACUUGUUCUAUUUUAGAUUCUCUUUAUACCCAGAUCUUUAUCUUAUUUAAAUGCUUUUUUCAGAAACAUGUUUCUAUGAUCUCUGAAAUUCUUCCUUUAAAAAAAAAUAAAACACAGGUCAAAUCUCAACACAAACUCGAAAAACGCUACUCAGAUUAUUGUCUUAUUGUGGAGUUUUGCUUGAGUGAAUAUUUCUUCCACUAAGUGCUAUCCAUGGGGUCUUGUAAAUCUUUGCUACAGAUCUCAUGCUGUAGUGAUACUUGUAACACAGUCUGACAAUUGUGAGUCUCUAGUUUAGGGUUAGCCCUUUUACACAGGCUAAGUUGAUUUUAUUGUCUCAGUUUUCUUCCUAGUACAAAGUAUUCUAGUAAGUUUCUUCAUAGUACAAAGAAUAAGAAAAAUGUAAUCUGUUGAUGAUAACCUUUUGUGGUAGGAAAAAACUUUGAAAGGAACCAUAAGAGAAGGAGGGAUCAUGAAUGUGCAUUUGUUUAAAGAAUAAUUAUGGCAUUAAAAUGUACGAUAGGAG
rnacentral:lncRNA from 1 species